rnacentral:rRNA from 1 species
CCCUUCCGGUGGAAGAACUCUCGGGAACUGAGAAUAAUACUCCAUAGAUCUAGACUGCUGGAAUGCUUUUAGAUUGAAAGAUUUAUCGCCGAAGGAUGAGUCUGCGGACUAUCAGGUUGUAGUCAGGGUAAUGACCUGACUAGCCUACGACGGAUACGGGUAGUGAGAGCUCUAGCCCGGAGAUGAUAUCUGAGACACGAUAUCAGGCCCUACGGGGCGCAGCAGGCGCGAAAACUUCGCACUGUGCGAAAGCACGACGAGGGAAUCCCAAGUGCUGGCUCGUAAGAGUCAGCUGUUUCUCUGUCUAAAAAACAGGGAGAGUAAGAGCUGGGUAAGACGGGUGCCAGCCGCCGCGGUAAUACCUGCAGCUCAAGUGGUGGCCGCUAUUAUUGGGCCUAAAACGUCCGUAGCCGGUUUCAUAAAUGCCUGGGUAAAUCGUACGGCUUAACCGUAUGAAUUCCGGGUAGACUGUUUAACUUGAGACCGGGAGAGGCUAGAGGUACUCCUGGGGUAGAGGUGAAAUUCUGUAAUCCUAGGGGGACCACCAGUGGCGAAGGCGUCUAGCUAGAACGGGUCUGACGGUGAGGGACGAAGCCCUGGGGAGCAAACGGGAUUAGAUACCCCGGUAGUCCAGGGUGUAAACGCUGCUCGCUUGAUGUUAGUCGGGCUCCGAGCCCAACUAGUGUCGGAGAGAAGUUGUUAAGCGAGCUGCCUGGGGAGUACGGUCGCAAGACUAAAACUUAAAGGAAUUGGCGGGGGAGCAC